AUCUUACUCCCUCUGUCCGAAAAUACUUGUCAUCAAAAUGGAUAAAAAGAGAUGUAUCUAAAACUAAAAUACGUCUAGAUACAUCCCCUUUUAUCCAUUUUAAUGACAAAUAUUUCCGGACGGAGGAAGUACAAA
rnacentral:pre_miRNA from 1 species